GUCCAAAGCAAACCUGGGUUUUCGUGUUUAAUUUUGACUGUCCAUUUUAUAUAAAUUUUUUUUAUAAUUCGUAUUUUUAUUGUUGUUGGAUGAUAAAAUAUGAUUAAUAUUUUAUGCGCGACUUAUCUUUUUAAUUUUUUUUAAUUUUUUUAAAUAAGACAGAUGGUCAAAUAUUGGGCACGGAAACCAGGGUUUGUCUUUUU
rfam:Oryza sativa Japonica Group DNA, chromosome 3, cultivar: Nipponbare, complete sequence.